GUGUCAGCCGCCGCGGUAAUACGGAGGGUGCAAGCGUUAUCCGGAUUCACUGGGUUUAAAGGGUGCGUAGGUGGGUUGGUAAGUCCGUGGUGAAAUCUCCGAGCUUAACUCGGAAACUGCCGUGGAUACUAUCAAUCUUGAAUAUCGUGGAGGUAAGCGGAAUAUGUCAUGUAGCGGUGAAAUGCUUAGAUAUGACAUAGAACACCGAUAGCGGAGGCAGCUUGCUACACGAUCAUUGACACUGAGGCACGAAAGCGUGGGGAGCAAACAGGAUUAGAAACCCUCGUAGUCC
rnacentral:rRNA from 1 species